rnacentral:rRNA from 1 species
AUUGAACGCUGGCGGCAUGCCUAACACAUGCAAGUCGAACGGUAGAGGGGGCAACCCCUUGAGAGUGGCGAACGGGUGAGUAAUGCAUCGGAACGUGCCCAGUUGUGGGGGAUACCACUUAGAAAGAAGUGCUAAUACCGCAUACGAGCUGAGGGUGAACGCGGGGGACUCGCACGAGCCCCGCGCCAUUGGAGCGGCCGAUGUCAGAUUAGGGAGGUGGUGGGGUCACGGCCUACCACGCCGACGAUCGGUAGCUGGUCUGCGAGGGCGACCAGCCACGCUGUGACUGAGACACGGCCCAGACUCCUACGGGAGGCAGCAGUGGGGAAUUUUGGGCAAUGGACGCAAGUCUGAUCCAGCCAUGCCGCGUGCAGGAAGAAGGCCUUCGGGUUGUAAACUGCUUUUGUCAGGGAAGAAAUCCUUUGGGUUAAUACCUCGGGGGGAUGACGGUACCUGAAGAAUAAGCACCGGCUAACUACGUGCCAGCCGCCGCAGUAA